ensembl:lncRNA
CCCUUAUAUACAGGCAUAAACCACACACACACACACACACACUAAGCAGCCUUCUAGAAACGACUGUACACAGAUACCACACACAGGCGAUCACAGCCGCUCAAUUCCACUUCAUGUCCUCCACACGCACACGCACACACACACACACGCACACACGCACACACCGAGCGACGGACUGAGGAAAAGAGCCUAUAGACCCACCAGCCAUCGACGGCGGUGCCAUUAUACUCUGAGUUCGGGGAGACUGAGGGAAGCGAGCGAGUCAGGGGGGGAAAUGAUGCCAUAAUUAUUCUCUGGGGUCGAAGGGGACGAAAGGGAGCGCAGAGAAAAGCGGCCUGUCCGACCGCCGCGGUGGAUUCAGUCGAUAGCCGGCGGAGGCGGUUUCGAGAGCUAUUGAGAGCUAGAAAAUUUAAAUUUUGAAAACGGCCAAAGUAUCCCAGUUAGUCCUCUGACAAGCCAUCCAGACUUGGCGGACGAGACGCGCGUGCUAGGUGGCCCACCGACCGUUUGUGAAAAAUCCCCUUUCAGGAUUUUAUCUCGCGAACGGUUUCUCCUUUCUUUCAAUUAGGUCUCCGUCUCCUCCCUCCGCUCACCUGUUACCAUCCCCUCCUGCCUCCCCGUCUCCCCCCCCCGCUAUCUCCCCUCCUUUGUUGGCUCCUGUUAAUGAAAGGAUUAGUGUUGGGCUGCGUUCCCGACGAGGAAGAAAGGAAUAUGACUUGCCGAGGCAUUAAAGAAGAGCUUAAUUAUUUUAGAAUGUCAUUAAGAGGAUAAAAAGGUUUAAAAGUCUUAAGAAGGGCAAGGGGAGUGAAUGAAUUAGGAACUGAAAUGGGUGGAUGUUUUUUUUUCUGAACGCUACCACACAUGUCGACACAUUUAUACACGCAGCAGGCAGCAUACACAUCUCUGAACGCCGUAUUUGUAUAAAAAAAAAAGAGCAGCAACAUAAAUUAAAUGAAUCUUUUAAGAAAAAAAAAAAAGUUUACUAUUGAAACGCAUUAUGAAGCAAAUAUACUAACACAGAAUAUUAGCCUAUAGAGGUGCAAAGCCGAACAAACCUGUCCAGUGAUCUUUAAAGAAAAUAAAGAAAAGAAUAAAAAAAAAAAAAUGUCAUUUGUCUUUAUGAGAAACCAGAGGUUUAAUGGAUUUUUUAUCAAUUGUUAUUAUUUGAACAAUUCUGAUUGUUGUUAAUGUUAUUAUUAUGGCCGUUGGUAUUAUUACAAUUGUAAAUGUUAAAGAAACGUACACUUCCCAUGGUUUGUUUUCCGUUCCACUGUAGAGAAAUUGCUGUCUUUUUUCACUCUUACCUUUCCUCUCUCUUCGUCUUCUGUGCCUAGUCGUCUCUUCUCCUGUCCUUCACUCCCGUUUGGUUCAGAGUCUCAUGCGUAACUGUUGAUGUAUAGCUAACUAUUCUUUAUAGGGGAAAGAUACAAAGCACGAAAAAAUUAAAAAGAAUUCCAAAACAACCCCUGGGAUCCGACUGGUUUUUGGGUCUGUUCACUGUGCACAUGGUUCCGUCCAUGGGGGGCAGUGGAGCUCCAGCUGGGAGGACGAAGAUGUAGGAAACCGAGCCCGUCGUGGCAGCUCAAUUAGGACAAAUAAAAUAAACAGAAGGUUCCGCGGCGCCGCUAAUGAAUCACGGGCACAGACAGAAGUCGCGGGUUGAGACAGCAAAAUGUGACCCCGCCGUUGACUUCCGCACAAUCAAUACCCGAUUGUGUCGGGAGGCACUCAGCGUGUGCAUCCGCGUGCGGGCCUGGAUUUGAAAGCCGCUGGAGGUCGCCGGAGGGGACGGAUCGAUGGGUUUCUCUUCCGUCGGUGGCGAGGCGCCGCGGUCGCCGGUCAUAAAGACAGAUGGUCAAACGGCAAUCAAAGUAAUGGACUCGCCGGGCGCCACCGCCGUGAGUUGACACUCGAUAGACAUAUCUGGAGUUUAUGAUGACGCAGAGUUAGCGUUAGCAGCUCCCGCUAUCUGGGCCACCGUGGUGGAUCAGCAAUGAAGACGGAAAUGUCCUCUGUUCUGCUUCUCCUCACGGGAAGGAAGAGGAAAUAUUUCCUUUUAAAUCCUUUUUCACUAGACAAUAAAAACGACACAUUUUCAGCUGCUAGACGUGAUGAAGAACAUAGACGGUGAUCAUGGAAUCAAUCAAAGACACAAGCAGGAACGACAUUGGUAGCAGUUUAUUCCUCGACAUGUAAACGUGGGAACAUUGUCUCGCCAGUAAUGACAGCGAGAAGCCAGUGGACACAAGAAGCCAGUGGACAGGUAGAAGCCAGUGGACACAAGAAGCCAGUGGACAGAAAGAAGCCAGUGGACAGCAAGAAACCAGUGGACAGGUAGAAGUCAGUGGACAGGUAGAAGCCAGUGGACAGAAAGAAGCCAGUGGACAGGUAGAAACCAGUGGACAGGUAGAAGUCAGUGGACAGGUAGAAGCCAGUGGACAGGUAGAAGCCAGUGGACAGGUAGAAGCCAGUGGACAGGUAGAAGUCAGUGGACAGAAAGAAGUCAGUGGACAGGUAGAAGCCAGUGGACAGGUAGAAGCCAGUGGACAGGUAGAAGUCAGUGGACAGAAAGAAGUCAGUGGACAGGUAGAAGCCAGUGGACAGCCGUCGCUCCCUCGUGCUACUUUCACCAUUUAACGCCCUGGAGCGUCUCUACGUGAGAUAAUUCCCGGUUUACGGCCCUUUUAUGGCGCUCGUAAUUCAUUUCUACGACUUGGCGCAGGCCGUCCAAAAACAAACUCUUCAUUUUUCUGCUGGAUUAGACACAGUUUUGUCCAUCUGUGAAAUCAACCCCCGGUGACCUCAGAACGGGGCACGCGGCUUGUAGUGCGCGGCGGCGUGGCACGAGGCAUUGAUUGUGGAGCCCGAGUGUGACCAGACCCACAACAAUCAGGGAGCAAAGAGAUUUACGGCCGAGAGAACAAUUGAAUCGGCAGAAGCCGGGGAUUUUUCUUUUUUUUUUACCCCCUUUAUCCUGAUUGAUCCAUAAAUAAUCAGAGUAAUGCACAUCCAACAAAUAGCAAAGCAAAAGAAAUCCAUGUGUAUUUUUUGAGUUCAUACAAAAUAGAUGAAAACAAGACAGCGGCUUUGAGAAUAAAUGUAAAAUAGUCACAGAAUCCGUGAAAAUGAUCAACUGACGAGAAUUGCGAGCGACUAAUUCAAAGCCACAGAGCAGAAAUUGAAAAAAAAACAAA